rnacentral:rRNA from 1 species
UACAGAGGUCUCAACCGUUGUUCGGAUUCAUUGGGCGUAAAGGGUGCGUAGGCGGUCGUGCAAGUCGGAUGUGAAAUCUCAGGGCUCAACCCUGAAACUGCAUUCGAUACUGCGCGGCUCGAGUCCGGAAGAGGCGAGUGGAAUUCCUGGUGUAGCGGUGAAAUGCGCAGAUAUCAGGAGGAACACCAAUGGCGAAGGCAGCUCGCUGGGACGGUACUGACGCUGAGACGCGAAAGCGUGGGGAGCAAACAGG